ACAGAGAAAGGCAGUGUUAGUCAAGGGAAGGGAAAGAGAAUCUCCAGUCCUCCUCUGCCCCAUGCCUGCAGUCUGUGCCCAAAACCACUGUGCAUAAAAGCAAGCGCUUCAUUGCUCAGUUAUUAAAUCCUUCUUCUGACCAUAAAAAGUAUCAUCAUCUCAUCAUGUCAGUAUGCCUUGGUCCUUCAAGGAAGGAUCACUUUGCAGUUAAGGUAUGCCAGCAGCAGAUCGAGGCUCAAUUCUAGGUUCAGAUCAUUUGUGUAACCUUGGCCAUGCCACCUUGUCUUUGAGACUAUGCAUUUUAAGCUGUUUGUUACACAGCCAGCUCCACAUUCAGAGCGUGCCUCUAAUUCUCUGCACAGCUGCGUGCCUCCUGUGUGUCCCCAGGCAAAUCACAUCAGCUCAGAUGGACGAAAGUCCCUUUAAUCAUGGCAUGUAGACUCUGUGCUCUCAGAAACAGGCACUGUGGGGUAACACAGUGAGAAUAGAGGUGGUCAUGUUUUACAAUGCCGAUACACUCAUUAGGGUACUUGUGUAAAAACGUGUGCAGCACUUCUUGCUAUUGCCAAGUAAUAGGGCAGCCCUUCAGUUGUGAAUAACUGAGCAUGAGUUUCUUGCUGAGGUCCCAGAACAGGAUAUGCCACUGAAGGACAAAGUGACACUUUAUCCCACUCCUGAUGUUUCCCUGAUGUGAGGUGCAGAGAACGGCGUGCAGGAUGCACAGUUCUCAUAUUUGUGUCCCACCAAACCCACUCCUACCCUACCUACAAGGCAUUGCUGGUGCCACAGGCAGAGAGAAGGCAGGUAGGGUGGGACAUGGUUGUGCUUGUAAAUUGGGUGAAAGCCACUCUGGAGCUCUGGGAGGAUUUCAGUGCAUCAUGUUCAAUGGUCAACAUGCUGAGUUAAAGAAUAAGCAUGCCCAGUUUGUGCUGGCUGCACGUGGGGCCAGGUACUAAUAACACUGCUACCUCGAACCUGAGGGAGGGCUGCUGCCUCCACUUUCAUUUAUUUAUCUCCACAGCAGAGAUCGGCAUAAAACAAAUUGUCUGAAAUCCUCAGAGCAAAUGGGAAAAGACGAGAGGUAGAUUCAUUUUAAGGCCCAGUAGCUUUGUGUCUUCCCCUUUCAAUAACACCGAUAACCUAGGUGUAAAACAUGUAAUGCCUUAAGCAAUCAAUAGCAUGGUUUAAAGCUUAUCACUUUAGAGAGAGAGGGAGCCAGCCUUCCCAGCCAGAGGAAUGCCAGGGCUUAACAAUGGGGCAGGGAAGAGAGGUGUCAAGCCUUUGGCUCCAUUGUGUGCUUUAGAAAUGUGCAUGAUUGCCUGCAAAGAGUGAAAAUAAAUAAAUAACUAAAAAUGCUCCCACAAUGAUUUCAGCUUCCCCUGCCUCGGAAGCAAUAAUCACAUUUGCACACAUCAUGGCAUACAAGGCAAGCAGAGCUCCUCAUUCAUUUUGAAUGUAGGUUUAUUUGCUGAACCAGAACAGCUGAGACAGCUUAAAGUAAUAAAUAUCAGCUGACACUCUCUGCUAUUCAGCACAGUAAUCCCAGAAACAAUACAUCACUGCAAAACAACAAACACGCAUCCUAUCUUCUGCCUAAUCUGACCACAACCUGAAUUCACAGUGAUUAAAACUCUGCCUGCUGCCAUCAGGGAGCUCAGGAAGGGGAAAGACAGACCAUUUUAGCACUGGUAUGGUGAGGGUCAUAAAGCAGAGUUUAUGAUGGGAUUUACCAUGGCUGGGAGCCUGGCUGCAUCAAGCAUAUAAUGAGGGCAAAAGAAUGACAUAGCAAAAUGCAAGAGGAAAGGUGAACUCCAAACAGGCUUGAAAUACUGAUAAAGAGAAAACGAAUGCAGCCAGCUCUACAUGUGAUGUAUCUUCCUCAUCUUCAGCCAUGCUGCAGCUUCUGGUGCAACUUCAUUGGGGCAUGUUUUCUGCAGUGUCCUGAGUGCAACAGCAAAUGCAAUGGAAGGCAAAGGAAACAAAAAGCCUGCAGGUACAGUCAGACCCUUCAGGACCCUUACGUGAGCCUCGGAGCAAAAAGCCCAACUCCUGGUUGCACUGAUCCUACUGUAGAAGUGAACUGAAGCUCCCAGCAAGUCAGUGGGUAUGUAUGCGUGUGAUACAGAAGGGAGGAAGGGCGUCUUUCAGAGAGAGCUUCCUGCUUUCCCAUGGGAGCCUGUAGACCUUGCUUAGAAUGGCUUUUUCUCUGCUCCCACUGGCAAUGCUGCUUGGCAGGGGGGUGGGCCUGGAGCCCCCAGACUGUCUCCAUCCUGCCACGUGUGGCUGCAUGUUAGAGGUGCUCUUUGAAACUAGUCAGGACAGCAUUUAGAAGGUCCCGGGGUAACGUGCUCUGGCAUGGUCCCACAGUGUAAUUAUAAUGGUAGUCAACUGUAGCUAAUUGUAAGGUAACUGCAGCUAAGAUGUCAAAAACAUUAAAGGACGGUGUAAUGAUGAAAGGACCAAAGGAAAAGACAAGGGGUCUCUCUGUGCCCCUCAGCCAGAAGCCUUCCUAUCUGAUGCCAGACACAACAUUUAACUCUUCUGUGCUUCAGUUUCCCCAACUAUAAGAAAGGCACCAUUCUGACCCACCUCCAUACAUGAGGCUUAAGUCACUCAUACCCAUGAUGGGCUUUUGGGAGUUUCCAGUGAAAGGAGCCAUAGAUGGGCAAACUACAAGUAAUUGAUGUUCACUUUUUUGAAAGAGCCUGAGAUGAGAGGAAAGGAACUGGCCACAGUCAGCACCAUCCCACGGAAGUAAAAACAUACAACUGAACGAUUUCUCCAGACAUCACUGUAUUUUUCUUAGUGCACCCAACCAAUCUUGCCAUUUCACUCGGAAUAACUCCUGUUACAAUGGCAAUGGUGUUGCUGAGAACUGGGACUGACACUGCUUGUUCCUUUCUGGCCAAGACCAUGGAUUACAUGAACACAGCAUUCAACUGCAGCCAAU